UUCAUCUUUGGACAGAUUUCGUGCAAAUAAGGAGAAACUUAUAUAAAAAUUAGCACAAAAAGACUUUUGAACACACUAAACUUAAGACAAAAGUAUUAAUAAUACCUUGAAACCACGAUAUAUCAAAAAACAACAGAAACCUCUAAAGUUUAGAUUAAAAACACAAUAAAACAUUUAGUUUGUGAAAACUAUCAUUGUUUCCUAGUGAUUCAAAGAAGGAUUUGAAGCAAAUUAUUCAGUUCGUGAAUUUUCAUUUCGCUGCAACAAUCAAAGGUACAUAAAUCUUGUACCAAACUUUUUUUAAAUUAUUUCACCAAAUUUGUCUAAAUUGAGAUCGAUGUUUCGGAGAUGCACCGACUGGAAGAUCUAGUCGGAGUCACGGAUGAUUACCGGGCCCCGUCUCCUCCCGCAGAGGUUCAUCCACUUGUCACGAAGGAGUUGGACAAGUGGCAUGCCCCUUUGUCAACCAACCUACAAUUCCAUUUGCCUAUAAAUAUGCAUAAACAUUGUGAAUUGAAAGUAUCAAGAAAUACUCCCUCCCGCUUCUCUCUCAUUACAUCUUUUCAUUCUUAAAGCUAAUUAUUUUUUUAGCUUUGGUAUUUUAAUUCCCUUAAUAACCUGCUGAUGAUAAUUACUUUGCUGAUUUCUGCUACCUCUAUAUAUUUAAAAUAGGGAAGUGAUUGUUUAAUCAUGGAGAAACAUUUCACACUGUUGAAAACUUUUUUAGGACAAUGCAACACGACUCAAGUAUUUAUCAAUUAUAUGCUCUAUUAUUUAUAUAUUAUUGUGACAAUUUUCAUCUUAUUUUCUGGACCACUUUUUAGUAAAUAGUAAAGUUAUUUAUUAUUAUUAAUGUGAAUUUUCUAACAUUUCCCCAACAAUCUAAGAAAUAAUAAUUUUGUGGGCAAAUGAGUUUUAUAUAUAUAUAUAGCUUAUUUAUGCUUAAUAUUUCUGAUAAUUUCAUUGGUUAUAUGAUUGAGCCUAUUUCAUUAUGGCAUGCCAAAUUACGACAUGUUAAUUGUCAUAUAUUAAAAAUAUGCUAUCUCGAAAUUCAAUAAAUGAUGUAAAUUUAAAUAACUUUUGAUGAUUACAUAAGUUCUAUUUGCUUUCGCAUGUUUCUUUAUAACAAGCUACAUUAUAACAUGUUAAUGUCUUAUAUAUUAAGAACCUACAGUCUCUUGGUUUAAUAUCUGAUUUAAAGUUUAAUUUUGAUAAAUAUAAAAUAUGUGCUGAAGCUAAAAUUACUAAAAAUCAUGUUUUUCAGUAAGUAGAGAAACUGAAUUAUUGUUUUUGAUCCACACUGAUUUGGAUGAUUUGGAACAUACUAUGACUAGAGAUGAUAAAAGAUAUUAUGUGACUUUAUUGAUGAUUUUUUCAUAUUUACUGAGUUGUACUUGCUAAGAAACAAAAAUGAUGUAUUUGAUGUUUUUAUUGCUUAAAGUUUGAAAUUAAAAAUUAACUUGGUAAGAAUUUGAUCUGAUACAAGUGGAGAAUUUAUAUUUUUAAAUGCUUUAUGUGAAAAGGAAGAAAUUAUUCAUGAGUAACCCGCCUUAUUCACCUGAGUCUAAUGGAAUAGUUGAAAGGAAAAAUAGAACUUUGAAAGAAAUGAUGAGUUCCAUGUUAAUUAGUUCUAAUGCUUAUGAUAUUGGUAUGAAGCAAUUUUAUCUGCAUGUUACUUACAAAAUAGAAUUCCUCAUAAAAGAACUGCAAGUUAUGAUUUUAUAAUUUUUUUUUUAAAUAAGUGAGAGAUUGUAGGAAAAAUAUUUUAUUUCAAAAGAUUAUUUUAUCAAGUGUAUUUAUAGAGCCGGUUUUAAAUCAUUUUAAAAUUAUUUGAAAAAUUGGUGAAUUGACAGUAUAGCAUAUACCAUUAUUUUACACCUUUUUUACAUGUCUACUCCUUAAUACUUGUCUGAUGAUAGAUAGCAUUUUACAUGAAAUGAAAUGGACAAGUGUCUAGGACACUUGUCUUUUGAUCAAGUUACUCAUCGGCCUAUAAAUAGGCAUAUUGCUCUUUUGAAAUGGAGUGCAACAACAAAAUAUUUACUAUUUAGCAAAAUUGUAGUCCUGAAAAUAAGAUACAAAAUACUACGAAGAUACAUAAAUAUUAGUACAGAAAAUAUACUUGAGUCGUGUUGGGCACUGUCCUAAGAAACUAUUUUAACGGUGUGAAAUAUUUUUCCAGGAUUAAACAAACACUUUCCUAUCUUAAAUAAAUAGAGAUAGCAGGAAUCAACAAAUUAGUUAUCAUCACCAAGUAAUUAGGGAAAUAAAAUAACAAAGUCAAAAUUAAUUAAAUUAAGAAAACAUGAAGAGACUAGGAAGAAAACGUUAGAAGCAGUAAGCACAAAAUAUUUUGUUGUUGCACUCCAUUUCAUAAGAGCAAUAUGUCUAUUUAUAGGCCAUUGAGUAACUUGAUCACAAGAAGUGUCCUAGACACUUGUCUAUUCAUUACAUGUAAAAUGCUAUCAUCAGACAAGUGUGAAGGAUUGGACAUGUGGAAAAGAAGGUGUAAAAUAAUGGUAAAUGUUGUACUGUCAAUAACACAAACUCUUUGUAAAUAGAUAAAUACUUGAGUUGUGUUGUGCACUGUCCUAAAAACUAUUUCAAAUGUGUGAAAUGUUUCCCCAAGAUUAAACAAGCA